GCCUGUCUAAGGCUAGUACAGCUAAAACAGUUCAAGUACCCGAUUUGUAAGAGUAUGGGAAAAGCCUUAGUCACUGGGAUGCUGAUUGAGAGCUGGACUUCAAAUCUCUUCUUUCUUGGGAAUAACAUAAAUAAGGAACAACAGCAACAACAAAGGUCACUUCUAGAAAGUCACUGAAGAAGAAGGAUCUUUUUCCAAACCACAAAACUGAGUCAGACAACAUGUACCCAGCAUGAAGUAUGGACUACUACCACCGAUUUCUGCUUCCGGCACUAAGCAAAGCUGGGUGUCUUGUGAAGGACUCUCUCACUUCCGUGACUCCGCCAGCAAGUCAGCCAUGACAAACUUCAAGAAGUGACUCCUCAAAAGGGAUUUCCCUAAAGAUGGAGGAAGAGCUCCACGACUAAGACAACACCGUGUUCCAAGCAGACACAGCCGCUCAGAGACAUUUAUGGAUGAGCCAUAAAUGGAAUUGAAUGCUAUCUCCACUCCAAUUUUUCUUCCUCCUCAUACUCCAGCACACAAAAAAACUAUUGUAGAAGGCAGCUGUGGAGGUUGCCAGAAAGCCAGCAAAGCCGUAUUAACGACAUGACCCUUUAUGAUACACGUUUAUUUAUAUUCAGUGAAGUAGGGCACCUGGCUGCCCAGAAAUUCCAAGAUUGAUUACCCUUGAAUGCCAAAGACAUCAUCCCUGAAGCAGUGGGAUGGAGAGCAGAAGGAAAGGAUCAUCAGGAAAAAUGCAACAUGCAUCACGGACAAGGGUCACUAAAUGCUAUUUAAACCAUCACAGAUGGUCGAAAGAUCUCCAGAUAGUCCACACUGAUGGGACACAUGGAAUCAGCCCAGUACCUCUUCCAAUAGGAACCCAUAGAAACAUGAACACAGCUUUCAUGACCUAACUCUUCAGAGAACCUCUGAUGUCAACAAAACAACAGAUAGAUUACAUUCAUUUGUAUAAGAAAAAUCGAAAGCAUCAGCAACUAUAAGAAGAUAGCAAACCAUGAUUUUGUCCAAAGACCAAGAUGAUUUAGCCAGAAGAAAACCUGAAGCAGCAAUCAGGAUCUUUGCAGAUGCUCUGAGGCUGUGGGAAAUAAUCCUCCCAUGGCUGAUGACUCAGG